rnacentral:rRNA from 1 species
UACGUAGGGUGCAAGCGUUAAUCGGAAUUACUGGGCGUAAAGCGUGCGCAGGCGGUUCGGAAAGAAAGAUGUGAAAUCCCAGAGCUUAACUUUGGAACUGCAUUUUUAACUACCGAGCUAGAGUGUGUCAGAGGGAGGUGGAAUUCCGCGUGUAGCAGUGAAAUGCGUAGAUAUCGUAAGGAAGGCCGGUGGCGAAAGCGA